rnacentral:lncRNA from 1 species
ACCCGAGCCUGCGCCGCGCGCCGCGCGCCUCGCCGCCCGCCUCGGCUCCGCUGCUCCUGCGCCUUUCGCGGGCCCGCGAGCGCGCUUUGGGCCUUCCACGCAGUGCGGCCUGCGCGUCAGGGACUUCUUUGCGGCUUAGGAGGAUGUUGGAUUGUUUUUCCUGGGCACGUCUAGACAGGUCACAUGAGGACACUCGCUGGAAAAUAGUUACUUCGCUCACGCAGCAGCCAACAAGGGACGUGCCCUAAUUGAGUGAUUGGAAUGAAAGAUGAAUACAAUUUGAAUAAUUUUUUCCUGUGCAGAGAGAAGCUGAGUUUUAUUUGCCUGUGGAUGUGUCCUCAGUAUGUAACAAGGUGCUGUGACACGGAAGAAUCACAUAAAGGUUUGCUGUAUUAGUGAAUUAAUUCAUAAUUAAUUUGAGGGCCGUGGAGGCACUGGAAGCUGGCUUUGAGGGGAACUUUUUCAUUUUUUGCCAAAUAUUUACUGAGCCCCCGGUACAUGCAAGACCCACAGUGCCCGGGGCUGCAGAGCCAGUGAACAAGGUUUCCACCCCAGUGGAACGCACAGCCUAACGGAAAGACAGAUCAGUAAACAAGUAAUUACAACAGUGGUAAGCUUUACAAAGUGAUGCCUGUGUAGGAACAUUAUGGCGAGGGGAUUUAUCCUAGUCCAGGGCCAGGGAAGGCAUUCAGGUGGAAAGUUAUGCUGAACAACUUAAAGGAUGAAUAAGACCCGAUGAAAGGGGGCAGGAAAAGUAUUCCAGGCCAGGUGGAGUGAACGGGACGCUCCACAUUUCGAGAUCUUGAGAGACACCUCCUGGGAGGGAAGCUGUCUGGUGGGGCUGGGGUGAGAAGAGCCAAGAGGCUGGGUUCUGAGGAGGUAGGCAGGGGUGCGAGGGCCUGCAUAGACCCUAGUGAACCGCAGUGAGGCUUGAUCUCGUUCGCGUGUCCUGGGACGGGUGAAAAAAGCCUUGCUUGCUUCCUACCGGUCUCCACCCUCCACCUCUCCACCCCACUUCCAUUACGAUCUCACCGUCACUUGCUCUCCUCUCAAAGCUUUUCUCCUGCUUCUUUUUUCCUGAGGCGUACCGCACAAGGAAGUUCCUUCUUCAGGCAACUUCUUGAAAACGCAUAAAGUUCUAGGAUUUUUGUGAUUCAUUCAUUCAUUGUUAGUGCAAGAAACAGGACUGGGAAGCAUCAAGUGUCCUGUAAAGGAAGACAGAGAAACCAAGAGGCCCAAAUCUAAGGUAUUUGAUCAAAGUCAAAAGUCUGUGUGUCAAGAGAGCUGAGAGUGCUUAUGUAAAAGAACUUUGGAAAUGAGAAAUCAACUGGUACGUUUCAGAGAUUUUCAGAAAAGUCAAGAUGGAAUAGAAGCACCCUUUGAAAGCCUAUUCUUAAUAGACCUGCAUUUAAAAAGAUUUUUUAGAGGUUAAACUUUGACGCUUUGAUAUAAAGCAUAAGUAGAACCAACCAGAAAAGAAUUUCGCCUAAAUAUGCCAUCAAGUCCCCUUCAGGAAAUGGCAUGCUGAUGCUUGUCAGCCGAGGCGGGUGGCUGGGUGUUUAUCCUCUAAACACCCUGUGUGGCCAAUUAGGAACACCACUGACAGUACCUUUAGAUUUCAGUCUGCAAGUCUUUUCCUUUUUUCUCCUGCCCCUUUAUAAUGCUUUUUGCCAGCUUAAAAGACUCAUGCCUCAGACACACUGAUGCAAUGAGACGCUAAUAUCAUAUUGCAUCAUCUGAUCCUAGGUGUGGUGCUCCUGAAACUGGUUUUUCUUGAGGUUAUGCUGCAGUAGAAAAGCACUUUGGGUAUAACACCCUGGAACUGGCCCUACUUGUCAGAAGACAAAAGUAAUUUUUGCAACUCCAUGCCUCAAUUCCACACCACUAUUCUCCCAGGGAAAGCCUGCGUGACUCUCCCGGCUGGAAUUGGGUGUGCAACAGACAUUCAUCAGUUAGGCGUGUCAUGCUGCCACUUAUGUAACAAAUGUUACAUAGUGAGGUGCACCUACAGGCAAGCUGAAAAUGACACUUCCUCCUUCAAACUGUGCUUGGAAUUUCACCUCGCUUCUAAUUGAGCAAAUUCUCCAGGGACAGGAUGGUUUGGUGCAAAACCGGGAGAGGGGAAGGGAAAGAAGGUGGCUGAGAUUUCUCUGACACUUUGAGGCACAGGUGUCUGGCACUGUGCUGAGCAUUUUACACCCAGAAUUUUGGAAAUGUGGCUGCAAGUGCCAGCCUGCCGUCACUCUUUAACCUCAUCUUCAGCAAAAUCAUAUUGCAAGUUAGAUUCAGCUACGCUUAAGUUCUUUUCCAGGGGUGAGGUGUGAUUUUUUCUUUCUUUUUUUUUUUUUUUUUUUUAUUUUUUUAGAUAGAAUCUUGCUCCUCCAGCACCCAGGCUGAAGGGUGAUGGUAUGAUCCCAGCUUACUGCAGCCUCUACCUUCCUUGCUCAAGCGAUCCUCUCGCUUCAGCCUCCCAAGUAGCUGAGACCACAGGCAUGGACAGCUACACUUGGCUAAAUUUUUUUUCUUUUUUAAUGUUUUGUAGAGACAAGGUCUCUCUCUGUUGCCCAGGCUGGUCUCGAGUGGUCCUCCCACCUCAGCCUCCCAAAGUUGCGGGAUUAUAGGGGUGAGCCACUGUGCACAGCCUCAGAAGUAUAAUUCAUUUUUUUUUUUCUUUUGAGGUGGGGUCUCGCACUGUCACCCGGGCUGGAGUGCAGUGGUGGCAACCUCCACCUCCCAGGUUCAAGCAGUCUCCUGCCUCAGCCUCCCAAGUAGCUGGGAUUACAGGCGCAUACCACCACGCCUAGCUAAUUUUGUAUUUUUAGUAGAGACGGGGUUUCACCAUGUUGGCCAGGCUGGUCUUGAACUUCUGACCUCGUGAUUUGCCCGCCUUCGCCUCCCAAAGUGCUAGGAUUACAGGCGUGAGCCACUGUGCCCAGCCUCAGAAGUGUAAUUCUAUUCAACUUGGCUACAGAAAGCUACACCUGUACUUGAAAGAUUAAUUUUCUGAUCCAGUGUCUAUAAAAAUGAAACCAGUGAUCCUGGGAGUGAUGCGCUAACCAAUGGAAACGAUUCUUUCUCUUUUUUUUUUUUUGGAAACUGGGUCUCACUCUGUCACCUAGGCUGGACUGUAGUGGCGCCAUCUUGGCUCACUACAGCCUCGACCUCCUGGGGUCAAACAGUUCUCCUGCCUCAGCCACCCUAGUAGCUGAGACUGUAGACGUGCACCUCCACGCCCAGCUAAUUUUUAAAAUUUUUUUGUGGAGACAAGGUCUCACUAUGUUCCCCAGGCUGGUCUCAAACUCCUGACCUCAAGCAAUCCUUUUGCCUUGGCCUCCCACAGUGCUAGGAUUAUAGGCAUGUGUCACUGUGCCUGGCUUCUUUUUACUCUUUUCAAUGUGACUACCACAAAAUUUAAUAUUACAUAUUAAGUUUUUUGUAGCUCAUAUGUUAUUCCUGUUGGACAUCACAGCCUUCGAAAGCAUAGCUGGAAAACCAGUAAUUUCCUCCAGACCCCACUCUUUCUGCAUCUGUUCUCUAGUUUCUCCUCUCUGUAAAAUGGCAAGAUAGAGUUUGGGCUAAAUUUCUCUUGAGGUUACUUCUGGAUUUCGUAUUCCCUGAUUCUGAGGACAGUAGUCAGCGGGGAAUCCCUGUCAUAGUGUUUGGAGAGAUGUUUUCUGGGAGAUGCAGAUCCGGUCGUCCUAUUUCUGCCAAUGAGUCAUGAAAUUUUCAAACGCAGAGUCUUUAAAUAUUGUAGUUGGACCUUUAAGUUCUCUGUCUGUGAGGCAUGCCUGGGCUUGGCUUGUGGCUUCUUCAUCUUUGUUUUUCUAGCAAGCACCCAGAGCAGCCCGGCGUGUAGUAAGCUGUCAAUAUAUGUUUGUUCAUCUAAAUAAUAUCCAGCGGAAGAACUGAAGCCCAGGGAGAUGCUGAGGCCUCCUGAGGCCACACAGCUGGCAGAUAGGAUAGCCAGGAAGUGUACAGGCAUCUGCAUCAGUAGGAGGAUUGUCAGAAACACAGAAUCUGGCCAGGCGUGGUGGUACACGCCUGUAAUCCCAGCACUUUGGGAGGCUGAGGCAGGACGAUUGCUUGAGCCCAGGAGUUGGAGACCAGCCUGGACAACAUGGUGAGACCCCAUCUCUACAAAAAUUAGAAAAAAAUUAGCCAGCCGCGGCCAGGCGCAGUGGCUCACGCCUGUAAUCCCAGCACUUUGGGAGGCCGAGGCGGGCAGAUCACUUGAGGUCAGGAGUUCGAAACCAGCCUGGCCAACAUGGUGAAACUCCCGUCUCUGCUAAAAUAUACAAAAAUUAGCCGGGCGUGGUGGCAGGCAACUUAAUCCCAGUUACUUGGGAGGCAGAGGCAGGAGAAUCGUUUGAACCCGGGAGGCGGAGGUUGCAGUGAGCCAAGAUCGAGCCAUUGCACUCAAACCUGGGGGAUAAGAGUGAGACUUCUCUCAAAUAAAAGAAAAGAAAAGAAAAAAAUUAGUCAGGUGUGGUGACGCAAACCUGUAGUCCCAGCUACUUUGGAGGCUGAGGUGGGAAAAUCGCCAGAGCCUGGGAAGUCCAGGCUGCUGUGAGCCAUGAUCAUGCCAUUGCACUCCAGCUUAGGUGACAGAGUGAGACCCUGUCUCAAAAAAAUAAAAAUAAACACUGAAUCUCAGGUUCAGCCCCCAGACCUACUGAAUCAGAAUGUGUUUUUUUUUUUUUUUUUUUUUUUUGAGUUGGAGUUUCCCUCUUGUUGCCCAGGCUGGAGUGCAGUAGCGCAAUUUGGGCUCACUGCAACCUCCACCUCCCAGUUCAAGCGAUUCUCCUGCCUCAUCCUCACAAAUAGCUGGGAUUACAGGCACCUGCCACCACACCCAGCUAAUUUUUUGUAUUUUUAGUAGAGACGGGGUUUUGCCAUGUUGGCCAGGCUGGUCUCGAACUCCUGACCUCAGGUGAUCCACCCACCUCGACCUCCCAAAGUGCUGGAAUUACAGGCGUGAGCCAUCACACCCGGCCCAGAAUGUGCAUUUUUAACAGGUGAUUUUUAUGCAUCUUAAAGUAUGAGAGGUGCAGCCAGGCAUGGUAGCUCACACCUAUAAUCCCAGCACUUUGGGAGGCUGAGGCGGGCAGAUCACCUGAGGUCAGGAGUUCGAGACCAGCCUGACCAACAUGGAGAAACCCCGUCUCUACUAAAAAUUAGCCGGGCGUGGUGAGCGGAGAUUGCGCCAUUGCACUCCAGCCUGGGCAACAAGAGCGAAACUCCAUCUCAAAAAAAAAAAAAGUAUGAGAAGUGCUACUGAAAUCAUACCACUUUUCCAUACCCUGUGGAAGCCAUUCAAAAGGUGGUUUCUCAUACUUUAAGAUGCAUCUAGCUGGGCGCAGUGGCUCACGCCUGUAAUCCCAACAUUUUGGGAGGCCGAGGAGGGUGGAUCACGAGGUCAAGAGAUCGAGACCAUCCUGGCUAACACGGUGAAACCCCGUCUCUACUAAAAAUACAAAAAAUUAGCCAGGCAUGGUGGCGGGUGCCUGUAGUCCCAGCUACUCGGGAGGCUGAGGCAGGAGAAUGGCAUGAACCCGGGAGGUGGAGCUUGCAGUGAGCAGAGAUCGCGCCGCUGCACUCCAGCCUGGGCGACAGAGCAAGACUCCGUCUCAAAAAAAAAAAAAAAAAAAAAGAUGCAUCUAGUCCAGGGUGAGGAGGUCCAGGAUGCAGAAUACCAAGACUCACCAAGCUGGCUGAUGUGGUUAGGCUUUGUGUCCCCACCCAAAUGUCAUGUUUUUAUUUAUUUAUUAAUUUAUUUAUUAUUUAUUUUUUUAUUUUUUGAGACGGAGCCUUGCUCUGUUGCCCAGGCUGGAGUGCAGUGGCGCGAUCUUGGCUCACUGCAGGCUACGUCCCCUGGGUUCACGCCAUUCUCCUGCCUCAGCCUCCCGAGUACCUGGGACUACAGGCGCCCACCACUUCGCGUGGCUGAUUUUUUGUAUUUUUAGUAGAGACGGGGUUUCACCGUGUUAGCCAGGAUGGUCUCGAUCUCCUGACCUCGUGAUCAGCCCACCUCAGCCUCCCAAAGUGCUGGGAUUACAGGCGUGAGCCACUGCGCCCAGCUAUUUAUUUAUUUAUUUUUAUUUUAUUUUAUUUUUUUGAGAUGGAGUCUCACUCUGUUGCCCAGGCUGGAGUGCAGUGAUCUUGGCUCACUGCAGCCUCUGCCUCCUGGUUCAAGCAAUUCUCCUGUCUCAGCCUCCCAAGUAGCUAGGAUUACAGGCACACACCAGCACACCUGGCUAAUUUUUGUGUUUUUAGUAGAGAUGGGGUUUCACCAUGUUGGCCAGGCUGGUCUCAAAUUCCUGACCUCAAGUGAGCCACCACGCCCGGCCUCCUGCUGCCUUUUGAAGAAGGUGCCUGCUUGCCCUUCUGCCAUGAUUGUAAGUUUCCUGAAGCCUCCCCAGCCAUGCUGAACUGUGAGUCAAUUAAACCUCCCUUGUUUAUAAAUUACCCAGUCUUGGGUAGUAUUUUUAUAGCAGUGUGAAAUCGGACUAAUACACUGGCCUAAUGAAGACUUAAGGAAAUUCAACAGAUAUUUACUGACCCUCUACACUGCCCCGGGCCUGGCAGCUGGUGCACCCACUUCUCUUCCUGAGGGUUGGAGGAGCUCACGCUUUUGCAGCCCCUGUUGCCUGCAUCUGAAGGAGUAAGCAACCACUUCACAGUUUUGCCAUCAGCUGGGCCUGCUCUUCCUCCUUUAGUACAGGAGAAAUUUGAAAUGAAAAUGAGCACACCUUGGGAGUUAAAUCUAAUUUUUCAGGAAAAACAGGAUCGAAAUCACUUUCAUCAAUGUCUGCCUGUUAGUUUGUAACCACCGGCGCUCCCAAUCUGCAGGAGUGUUUGCAUUCAUGUUGUGUUCCUGGCUUGAGAUAGAGCCACAAUUUGUAAAGCUGGUCUGUAAUCAAUAGCUCUCCAGUCGGCCGGGCGCGGUGGCUCACGCCUGUAAUCCCAGCACUUCAGGAGGUCAAGAUGGGUGGAUCAUGAGGUCGGGAGACUGAGACCAUCCUGGCCAACAUGGUGAAACCCCAUCUCUACUAAAAUACAAAAAAUUAGCUGGGCGUGGUGGCACGUGCCUGUAGUCCCAGCUACUCAGGAGGCUGAGGCAGGGGAAUCGCUUGAACUCGGGAGGCAGAGAUUGCAGUGAGCCAAGAGUACCACUGCAUUCCAGCCUGGGUGACAGAGCGAGACUGAGUCUCAAAAAAAUAAAUAAAUAAAGGCUCUCCAGUCAUUUUCUAAGACUAUCCCUCACCUAAGCUUGCAAAUAAAAGCUAACUUCUGCAGAGAUUCCAUCUUCCCCUGCCAGUGGGCAAUAUGGAUGUAUAGUCAUGAGAUUAGAAAAAGAGAGGCUGGCCAGGCACGAUGGCUCACGCCUAUAAUCCCAGCACUUUGGUAGGCUGAGGCAGGCAGAUCACCUGAGGUCAGGAGUUAGAGACCAGCCUGACCAACAUGGGGAAACCCCGUCUCUACUAAAACUAUAGAAAUUAACCAGGCGUGGUGGCAGGCACCUGUAAUCCCAGCUACUCCGGAGGCUGAGGCAAGAGUAUCGCUUGAACCUGGGAGGUGGAGGUUGCAGUGAGCCAAGAUCAUGCCACUGCACUCCAGCCUGGGUGACAGAGUGAGACUCUGUCUCAAAAAGAAAAAGAGACAGAGGCACAAACAAAGUGCAGGUCCUACAGCUGUUCAUCCAGCAUCGAUUGCGAAAUGAAGCCUAGCGGGUGGGCGACUUUUGGGUGAGGUCAAGAACCAUGAGAGUUGGAAUGGACGAGAAAAACCAAGGCUUUGGGCCCAGCUGCAGAACUGUGUCAUUUGCCGGGAAGGUUAAUGACAAGGCCAGAAGGAGUGCCGCCUGUUUAAUGUAUCAGGUGGCCCUGGUGGCUGGGAAUCAUUGCAUUUCAGGCCACGUCAUGUCAUGCAAAAGCAUAAUAACCUUUUGAAAAAUGAAGAAAUCGAUCCCGUGGGGAGUCCCUGCAGUGCCAAAUAUCUGGACUGUCUGAUUUUCACAUUCACUAAGUGGCCUGAGUCAGCUAGAUGAAGCAGAGGAGUUCUUAAAUAGAACCAAGAUGCUCUCUCUGGUGUGCACUGAGCUCUUACCUUGCGCCAGACAUUGGGCCAGGCACUCCCCGUAAAAAGCUGGUUUCAUCUUCAUAACAUCCAUGCAACACGGAUACUUUUGUGGGUCCCCGUAUUAGUUUGCUAGGGCUGCCAUAACAAAGUACCACAGACAGGGUGGCUUAAAAUCAGAACCUUAUUUUCUCACAGCUCUGGAGGCUGUAAGUCUAAGACCAAGGGGUCAGCAGGGUUGGUUUCUUCUGUGGCCUCUCUCCAUAGCUUGUAAAUGCCACCUUCUCUCUUGUCUUCACGUGAUCUUCCCUCUGAGUGUGUCUGUGUCCUCAUCUUUUCUUACAAGGAUACCGGUCACAUUGCAUUAGGGCCAGUGUAAUGACCUCUUUUUAACUUUAUUACCUCUUUUGAGACCCUAUUUCCAAAUACAGUACAGCCACAUUCUGAGAUACUGGUGGUUUGCACUUCAGCAUAUGGACUCGGGGGGACGUAUUCAUCCCCUAACAGUCCAUUUUAUAGAUCUGGAAGCCAAGACAUAAGUUAAGAAACUUGUUCACGGUCUCACAGGUGGAAGUGGUGAAGUCAGAAUCUGAAAACCCAUUCUUUCUUUUUCUUUUCUUUUCUUUUUUUUUUUUUAGAGAUGGUGUCUCACUCUGUCUGUCAGGCUGGACUGCAGCCUCAGUCUCCUGGGCUCAAGCAAUUCUCCAGCCUCAACCUCCGGAGUAGGUGGGACUAUAUGCGUGUGCUACCGUGCCCGGCUAAUUUUUUCAUUUUUAGUAAGAGAUGAGGGCUUGCUGUGUUGCCCAGGCUGAUCUUGAACUCCUGAACUUAAGUGAUCCUCCCACCUCGGCCUCCCAAAGUACUGGAAUUACAAGCAUGAGCCACCUUGUCUAUUUUCUUUUUGUUGUUGUUAAUUUGUGUGUGUGUGUGUGUGUGAGAUGGGAGUCUCACUCUGUCGCUGAGGCUGGAGUGCAAUGGCGUGAUCUCAGCUCACCACAACCUCCGCCUCUCGGGUUCAAGCGAUUCUCCUGCCUCAGCCUCCCGAGCAGCAGGGACCACAGGCAUGCGCCACCACGCUAGGCUAAUUUUGUAUUUUUAGUAGAGAUGGGGGUCUCUCCAUGUUGGUCAGGCUGGUCUUGAACUCCCAACCUCAGGUGAUCCGCCCACCUUGGCCUCCCAAAGUGCUUGGAUUACAGGCGUAAGCCACCAUGCCUGGCCCACCUCAUCUAUUUUCAGAGGCUGAGAUUUAUUGCCGCUAACUUCAGGGUUCCACCCAAGCCAUUCCUACACUUAUUCCACUGUCCCCACUGGCCUCUCCUUAAACACCCCCUCCUGUUAGGACUCCUGCUUGCUCCUUAUCUUGCUAUCUCUACAGAGGUCUUGGUUCUGAGGCUGGAAACAGAAGGGCCUCUGGAGUGAAUAACACAUGGUUCUGUGGGCUUUGAGUGUCACGCAGAGGCAUCAUCUUAAAAGACAAUCUCGGCCAGGCGAGGUGGCUCAUACCUGUAAUCCCAGCACUUUGGGAGGCCGAGGUGGGUGGAUAACCUUAGGUCAGGAAUUCGAGACCAGCCUGGCCAACAUGGUGAAACCCCGUCUCUACUAAAAAUACAAAAAUUAGCUGGGUGUGGUGGUGCAUGCCUGUAAUCUCAGCUACUGGGGAGGCUGAGGCAGGAGAGUCGCUUGAACCUGGGAGGUGGAGGU